UACAGAGGUCCCAAGCGUUGUUCGGAUUCACUGGGCGUAAAGAGCGUGUAGGCGGCCAGGUAGGUCCGUUGUGAAAACUGGAGGCUCAACCUCCAGCGGUCGAUGGAAACCAUCUGGCUAGAGUCCGGAAGAGGAGAGUGGAAUUCCCGUGGUGUAGCAGUGAAAUGCGUAGAGAUCAGGAGGAAUACCGAUGGCGAAGGCAGGUCUCUGGGCUGAUACUGACGCUCAUGCACGAAAGCGUGGGAGCAAACAGG
rnacentral:rRNA from 1 species